CAGCCGGCCUCGACGCUGGGGUCGAGCUGCCCGCGCCGGACGCUAGCCGCCUCCGCUGCCGGGGCUCCUCCGCGGGGGCGCGUCGGAGAGGUGGGAGAGAAGACAGAGAGGAGAUAGGGCUGGGAGAGAGAGGAGAGGUGGAAGAGAAGAGAGAGAAGGAGGAGAUAAGGUUGGCUGGUUGAGCGCCUCGCCUCCUCCCCACGGCUGCGCCUCCCCCCGUCCCCCGUCCGCCACCUCCGUGCGCAGACAGACUGAGCCACGUCCAAACGCCGUCGCAGACCCUGACUGGCGCGAACCCUGCCCGACCUUCCCUCCACGCCAGCGCAAUAGGAUGACUCUGCUGUGCCGGCCGCGCCGCCACUGCCGCCGCUGCGGACGACGGAUCCAUAGAGGAGCCAUAUGCGCCCACGUGCGGCCCCAAGGAGCGGUGGCGGAGGUGGGCAGCGCGCGAUCCGGCCGGCGGCGACGGUGGGCAGCGUGCGAUCUGGCCAGCGGCAGCGACCGUGGACGUCCUGGUCGACCUCCCAAUCCACUCUUUGCAGACCUGCACUCGAGCCGAGCCAUCGCCAAUGUUCGGAUCCGGGCGGCGUGAUGUGGAUCCGGUGGACGUGUGAGUGUGGGGGCGGCCAUGGCGUCCUCGCCGGUCAAGUUCUUCUUGGUGCUACUGGGAAGCUAAAGCAGCCGGCGUCGUCGUGAAGUAGCCGUCGUGGCGGGAUAGGCGCUCCCUCUCCGGCUCGUCGCAGCUUGCCCUGGACGGGAGCUUUGCAAACAGGGCAUGUGGGGAGCAGGUCGUCGCCUAGUGGCCUGCCUAAAUCUCCUCCAUCGCCGGCGAAGCCAUCGAUGGUAGUGAUGGAAGGCCCGCCCAGGCACCGGCGGUCAUCUGCCCCGCAUCGAUCUGGCCACGCUCGCCGCGCAUGAGGAUAUCCGCUACACCACCAUGGAGCUCGCUAAGGCAUCAGUGCCAGCAGGGAAGCAGGACGCCGUCGCCUGUGUUUGCUGCUCUAUGCUUGCCACCUAUCGAAACAGCCACGCUCACCACGACGAGGCAAUUUUGCUGCCUGUCAAUCUGAUCAUUCUCGAGACACCCAAGAGCCCAAUAACGGUUGCGCCAUCAUCGUCGUCGUACAUCUUGACGCCACUCCCAUCAUAGGUCGCCUUCUACCACGGCAAUGGGAUUCAGAAUGACGGUACGCCACUCAGAGCUGUGCCCGCCCCCGCUUCCCUCGGAACACACGAGUUCUAUGUAUGGGUCCCAUGUAAUAAACAGAUGACAUCAAACCACCCACAAUUGUCUUCUACUAAUAUAUUUGUAAAGAGAGGACUAUUAGGGACAA